AAGGUUAGGAAAUCGCCCCCGGAGAAAUGGGUGGGAUUUAAUGGGCGGCCAAAGGCUUCCUGUCCGUCCCCUCCUGGAGCUGCCCGCGUGGAUGUGGGCGGGGAGACCGAAAGGAGAGAGCGAGCUGCGGCUCCUGGUGAAAUGGGAAAAUGGGCUCGACCGGGGGAGGAGUAUUUCCAUUCAUAAGGCGCACGGAGGGGCCGGGUGUUUCCCAGAGAAAAGCCUCUUAAAGUGCCGGAGUCCCCGACCAUUUGGAUCUCCCCAUUGGCGUUCUCCAGGCCUGUAGAUCCUGCGGGCGAAGCAGCCCCCGGCGCCUCGACGCGGUGACCGGAGAGGAGCACAGAGAGCUGUGGGGGCCAACCAGAAUACGGCAGGAGAACCCUGCCUGAAGGCCCUAAUAGCUCAAGAGGCUGUGAGAUGCCGCUGUGUAAGCAAGGGUUACAAUGGAGACUCCAAGACAUUAAAGAUGCCGGAGCCAUGAGGCAUCUAACACGGAGAGCUGCAUACAAGCUGUGAAGCUAUCUCAUGAGAGAGACGUAUGUUGCGGGAAAGCUAGAGGGGCAGAGCUACGUAAGACCUUUGAAACUACAGUCUCGGACAUCAGGUCAAGAUGUGUGCUCUCAGCUUCUGCUCUAACUGCCGUGUCUGCUGCUUGCUGCAAUGCUUCCCAGCUACGACAGACUCUUAUCCCUCUGGAACUGUAAUCAAAUAAAC